rnacentral:misc_RNA from 1 species
GAUGAAGAACGUAGCGAAAUGCGAUAAGUAAUGUGAAUUGCAGAAUUCAGUGAAUCAUCGAAUCUUUGAACGCACAUUGCGCCCGCCAGUAUUCUGGCGGGCAUGCCUGUUCGAGCGUCAUUUCAACCCUCAAGACCCCUUCGGGGGACUUGGUGUUGGGGACCGGCACAGGGGCCUGCCUGCUUGUCUUGCAGCGCCCUCGCCGCCCCCGAAAUGAAUUGGCGGCCUCGUCGCGGCCUCCCCUGCGUAGUAGCACAACCUCGCAACGGGAACGUGACGGCGGCCACUGCCGUAAAACAACCCCAAUUUUAUUAGAGUUGACCUCGAAUCAGGUAGGAAUACCCGCUGAACUUAAGCAUAUCAAAAGCGGAGGA